AAGCGGACCACCCCCCGCCUGUCCCAAAUCCAGAUUAUGAGCCGAUCCGGAAGGGCCAACGGGAGGUGUAUGCUGGCCUGGAGCCCCAGGCUUUCUGAGAUGCUGCCUUGCUUGCCAUGGCAAGAUGCCAGAUGUUCCGGGUGGCAAUGAGUCCCCAGAAGUGCCUGCCACUUCCUUCUCCUGCUUGCACUAACCGCUGACCUUCCUGGUGGGGGUACUCCCUGUUUGCACUGAGUUUUGCAGCUAGAAAAUCUGGUGGCCUGGAGAGCCCCACCCCGGAUGGAGCAAAGAGCUGCAGGAUGCCCAGGGGGCUUCUCAGACUGCAGGACUCACCUGGGCAAGAAAAGGGCACCAUAGAAGCCUCUUCCCUCAUGUGGGGUCACUCAGCCACAGCACUGCUGCUCUGAGUGCAUGCAAACUCCGUGGAUCAUGUCCCAUUCCCUGGGCAGGAUGCGCUGCUCUGGCUGGGGGUGCCCAGGGACCACUUGUGGCCAGGUCUCCCUUAGAGCUCCUGAGGUGGCAUGUCUGGUUGGUCGAUUUGUGCUUCAGGAGCCCUGAGCCCACUUGCCCUGGCAGGGAAUCCCAUUAUGAAAAGAAGGCCUGCUUUUACAUUUGUUUUGAUUGUGCUCGCAAAGAAUCCUAGUAAAGCUCUGUUCCAUUCAC